GCCCAGGUGGAGAAACUGGUAGACUUACUACCUUGAGGUGGUAGCGCUCGCAAGGGCUUGGGGGUUCGAGUCCCCCCCUGGGCA
rnacentral:tRNA from 1 species